rnacentral:rRNA from 1 species
AUAAGCCGGCGCAAGCCUUUUCAUUUGGUUGUUUUCUUGGGUAAGCCCCCCCCCCCAUUUGAGAGUUUUUGGUUUUCAACCCCGUUAAGUACGCUCAAUUUUGGAUGAGCCCGCGGCCUAUCAGCUUGUUGGUGGGGUAAUGGCCUACCAAGGCGACGACGGGUAGCCGGCUGAGAGGGUGACGGGCCACAUUGCGAGGAGAUACGGCCCAGACUCUUACGGGAGGCACCAGUCGGAAUAUUGCAC